rnacentral:rRNA from 1 species
AUCACACCCCAAGAGGUUAACAGCAGUGAUAAAAAUUGUCCAUAAGCGCCAGCUUGAAUCAGUUAAGAAAAAGAGGGCCGGCCAACCCGGUGCCAGCCGCCGCGGCUACACCGAGGGCUCAAGCUGAUAACAUUCGGCGUUAAGCGUGAUUAAAGGUAAUUAAAUUAGGAUUAAAUCUAGGCUUAACAGUAAAAAGUUUGCCGACAGAAACCCGUAAUCGAAAGUUAUCCUAAUAUCUCUUGAAUACACGAUAGCUUGGACACAAACUAAGAUUAGUAGAUACCCCACUAU